rnacentral:lncRNA from 1 species
AAGACAAGAGGCAUGGGGUUGGCUCUAGAUCCAGAAAGCAGCUGCUGAUUAGAUUCUGUGUCUGAGAGCUGAAUUUAUUCCGUGUUUUUCAGCAGCAGGAAUUCGAGAGGGAUGCUUCUGUUUGGGUUUCUGGUCGUGAUUUAUAUUUAUUCAGAGGAAUAACAGAGGGUGGAUCUGUUCCCGGCGAGCAUGCUCACAACCAACCGACUCUCCCAUUAUCCCGCUGCCUAGUUUGGCGCUCCCGUGUACAUGGCUAUUCCGUGUGCAUAUGUGUGUGUGCAAACACGCAUGCAUGCCUGGAUGGACAUACGUAUGCAGAGGUUAUUUUUUAAGGACAAUUCUUUCAAUAAGGUCUUUACCCCUUACUUAAAACAGGUGUUCAUGAAAAAAAUGCACAAAAUCCUGACUGGCCGGAAUAAUUCAUGAAGAAAGGGCUGGAUCCGUGGGUCAGAGCACACAGGACCAGGUUGCCAUCCCAAGGCCGAAGUCUGGUGACUCGGAUUUGGCCCUGCGUUGCCCACUCCUGCUGCAUCUUACCCAGUCGAAGGAUGAAAGGUCUUGGCACCUUCCUGAAGCGUGGGAAGAAAGGAGGUUCUGAAAGCACAGAUCCAAGACCACCAGAGGCCGGGGACACUGACACCUGGAGGGGCCACUCACACACCGCCAGGAGCCAAGGAGAGCUGGACAGGAGGAACACGGGCCCAACAAGGGUGGAAAUACCAGCAGUCCCCAAAGCCAUCUACAUCAGUGCCCAGGCAGCCCAUGCAGGACCCACUGAGUGGAAGACAACAUGGUAG